AUUGAACGCUGGCGGCAGGCUUAACACAUGCAAGUCGAGCGGUAACAGAGAGAAGCUUGCUUCUCUGCUGACGAGCGGCGGACGGGUGAGCAAUGCCUAGGAAUCUGCCUAGUAGUGGGGGAUAACUUGCCGAAAGGUAAGCUAAUACCGCAUACGUCCUACGGGAGAAAGGAGGGGACCUUCGGGCCUUUCGCUAUUAGAUGAGCCUAGGUCGGAUUAGUUAGUUGGUGAGGUAAUGGCUCACCAAGACCGCGAUCCGUAACUGGUCUGAGAGGAUGAUCAGUCACACUGGAACUGAGACACGAUCCAGACUCCUACGGGAGGCAGCAGUGGGGAAUAUUGGACAAUGGGGGGAACCCUGAUCCAGCCAUGCCGCGUGUGUGAAGAAGGUCUUAGGAUUGUAAAGCACUUUAAGUUGGGAGGAAGAGCAGUUAACUAAUAUUUGACUGUUUUGACGUUACCGACAGAAUAAGCACCGGCUAACUUCGUGCCAGCCGCCGCGGUAA
rnacentral:rRNA from 1 species